AACAUAACUCCUAAAAAAAUUUAAUGGAAGUAAACAUAACAUUAGGUUACUAUUAUAUAAGGUGAUGAAGCAAUUGUUUACUUGUCACAUAAAAAGGUAGAAAAAAAUGGCUGAAACGCUCAAGGUUGUUUACACUAUGAUCCUUUUAGUGUCCCUAUUUCUUCUUUUAGUCGCCGUUGGUGGUAAGUUUAUCCUCAUAUUUUCUUGUAUACAAAACCUUCCAUCAUCUUUAAACAACAUUUGUUUAUUUUUAUUUUACCUUACAACAAAACAUAGUUGUAAGUUAGAAACUGAUUGUAAAAAGUAUCGGUGUCCUCCUCUCCAAUUCAUGAUUUGCCUUGAUCGUCAUUGUGAAUGUACAAGCUAUCCUUAAAUUUGGUGAUGACAAGAAAUCAAUGGAGCUUUUCUUGUGAUAAUGGAGUUUUUUCAAUAUUGUUGAUUUUGUUAUAUGAGUGGAGAUCCAUUGAAUUGAAAUGUAACUCUAAAUUUAAUAACUACAUUUAAAACUCUUCGUAUUCCUCAAUAUUUAUUGUUAUUAUUUGUUUUAUCUUAUAAUUUUCAAACUUAUGAAUUAUAACAUUAUUGUUAUUA